UUUAUGGAGAGUUUGAUCCUGGCUCAGGAUGAACGCUGGCGGCGUGCCUAAUACAUGCAAGUCGAGCGAACUGACAAGGAGCUUGCUCCUUUGA
rnacentral:rRNA from 1 species